rnacentral:rRNA from 1 species
UGGGGAAUAUUGGACAAUGGGCGAAAGCCUGAUCCAGCCAUGCCGCGUGUGUGAAGAAGGUCUUCGGAUUGUAAAGCACUUUAAGUUGGGAGGAAGGGCAUUAACCUAAUACGUUAGUGUUUUGACGUUACCGACAGAAUAAGCACCGGCUAACUCUGUGCCAGCAGCCGCGGUAAUACAGAGGGUGCAAGCGUUAAUCGGAAUUACUGGGCGUAAAGCGCGCGUAGGUGGUUUGUUAAGUUGGAUGUGAAAGCCCGGGCUCAACCUGGGAACUGCAUCCAAAACUGGCAAGCUAGAGUACGGUAGAGGGUGGUGGAAUUUCCUGUGUAGCGGUGAAAUGCGUAGAUAUAGGAAGGAACACCAGUGGCGAAGGCGACCACCUGGACUGAUACUGACACUGAGGUGCGAAAGCGUGGGGAGCAAACA